CACUCCUACGGGAGGCAGCAGUGGGGAAUUUUGGACAAUGGGCGAAAGCCUGAUCCAGCAAUGCCGCGUGAGUGAAGAAGGCCUUCGGGUUGUAAAGCUCUUUUGUCAGGGAAGAAACGGUGAAAGCUAAUAUCUUUUGCUAAUGACGGUACCUGAAGAAUAAGCACCGGCUAACUACGUGCCAGCAGCCGCGGUAAUACGUAGGGUGCAAGCGUUAAUCGGAAUUACUGGGCGUAAAGCGUGCGCAGGCGGUUUUGUAAGUCUGAUGUGAAAUCCCCGGGCUCAACCUGGGAAUUGCAUUGGAGACUGCAAGUCUAGAAUCUGGCAGAGGGGGGUAGAAUUCCACGUGUAGCAGUGAAAUGCGUAGAUAUGUGGAGGAACACCGAUGGCGAAGGCAGCCCCCUGGGUCAAGAUUGACGCUCAUGCACGAAAGCGUGGGGAGCAAACAGGAUUAGAAACCCCAGUAGUCC
rnacentral:rRNA from 1 species